GGGCAGCAGCAGAACAUAGUCCAGCAAAUGUUCCUUCACUUUUUCAGGGUUGCCUCACUUUGCAGAGCCUUGAAAUUGAUGAAGAAGGUAUUUCCCUUCUAGUGGAAGACAUCAAAUAUGCGUCUCACCAGCCUUCUGAAGGUGAUCGUGGCUUCAUUGUGGCUAGGAUCCAGUAUUGCCCAGAAGGUAACUCAAGCCCAACCACCAAAGUUCACGCAGGAGAAGGAGACUGUGAACCUGGACUGUACAUACGACACCAGUGAUCCAACAUAUAGCCUAUUCUGGUACAAGCAGCCCAGCAGUGGGGCGAUGAUUCUUCUUAUUCGUCAGGACACUUAUAGCCAAAAAAAUGCCACAGAAGGUCGCUACUCACUGAAUUUCCAGAAGGCAAACAAAUCCAUCCAACUUGUCAUCUCAGAUGCACAGGUGGAGGACUCUGCAGUCUACUUCUGUGCACUGAGUGAGCCCACAGUGAGAGGUGUGUUGGAGGGAGGUGUACCAAAACCCACAGUUCUCCUUGAUACAUCCACCUGCUGUUGGGUCCAGGGCUGAGAGUUGCCAUCACAGACAGGAAGUGGUUAGGGCUGUGGCAGCACAGGUGUAGGGUCAGAGGGAAAACACUCAGUCUAAGAAAUACCUUUCUAGGUUCAUAGACUAUGUCUGGAACUAACAUUCAUCAAAAUCAUUCUUAUCCCUGAAUCAUUGGCU